CACACAUAUAUAUUCACAGAAUGAGUUAAAGCAGUUCCCUUUCAAGGCGAUAACUCAACAGUCAGCUAAGACGUAUAUGGGAACUCCCUCCUUCUCCACUUUUGAUGAAAUCUUAUGGGCUAUGUCAGCUGGGGACAGAUGGCCAAUUGACGCGAAUCAUGCAAAUACUGACAGGCCAGUGGGCAGUAUAAAAUGCAUAGGCGCGAAAAUUACGUCAGAAUCUCUUUCUUCACGCUAGAAGUCUUAUCGAAGUCAUCGUGGAAGUUGCAUUAGAGGACUACUCACCCCUUUUCCCGCUCCACAUCCGAUGGCUGCUACACGCCAGAUUUGCGCGGGACCCAUUGACCCGCCCGACCUUCGCCAGUUCUGUGUCACCUAACUGGGCCUCGCCCACAUCGAGGGCUCUCGCACUCACGGACUACACGUGCGCUUACUGUGCAGAGCUGCCAGUGCGCGCCAUCAGAGCCAGGAGAGAAGUAGCUCGGACAACAGCGGGGUUGAGGCCCACUGCUGCCAGCGAGCCGCAGGUGCGUCCUCCCCCGCCCGAAGACGAGUUCAUCGCUGUCAGCUUCGCCGACGAUAGCUUCAGCCACCACUCUCGGCGUCGGAAAAGGAUUGGGCAUCUCAGUCGGACCGCCUCGACUUUAUUUGAGUAGGCCCAAUAAUAAAACAUUGUGGCUUUUAUUAAUGCAUUUAUUGCAUAUAUUUCUCUACAUAAAUAAACAAAUGUAUAAGUUUAAUAUUUAUUUAAGGUUUUCUGUUUGUCUUGGUGAUAGUGGUGAACAAAUACAUCAAUUAUCAACCCCAUAAAGGCCUUGUGUAAAAAUCUCAACCUCAUAUAUAUUUUUUCUCUCCAUAUAGAUGGGGACAAAAAAAGUAACCGUGGUGCUUAUACAGAGCAAGCGCUACAAAAUGCCAUCAGAGCAAUUGAAGAGGGAACUGCUUUGAAGGCUGCAAUUUUCAUCAGUCUGGAGUCCCCCCAAAGACCUUGAGGUGGCAUAGGGAUAAAAAGUUUUGGAGCCUGAAUCAAAGUGUUUAGGCUGCAAAACAGUUUUUAUGUCAUUAUUCGAGCUCCAGUUAACUGAGCACAUUCAAUCAAUGGAGAGGCCAUUGUUUGGGCUUCCAACGAUUGAUGUAAGGAGGCUGGCCUAUGACCUGGCAGAGAGUUUAGGCUUGAACCAUUGUUUUAAUUCAGAUGAUGGCAAGAUGGCAGGGAAAGACUGAUUCUAUAAUUUUCUAAGAAGACAAGGAACCCUGUCUGUCAGGCGACUAGCAUUUCUAGGAGGGUUGGGGUUCAACAGACCGAAGGUGGACCUGUUCUUCCGUAUUUAUGAGGAUGAGCUCCAAAGGCUUGGUGAAAACGUUGACCACACCCGUCUGUGGAAUAUGGAUGAGGUGGGCGUCCAACAAAUUUGUUGCUUCAAAGGGGAAGAGGCAGGUGGUUUACUGUCACUGCUGCCUGUUCCAUGAACGCCGCUGGGCAGUUUGUACCACCACUGUUCAUUUUUCCAAGAAAAAGAAUGAAUGAGCGCCUACUGUGUGGUGCCCCAGCAGGAUCGAUUGGUGACACAGGGUGGAUGGACAGUACACUCCAGUGGCUGAGACAUUUUUGUGACACCAUUGGAUGCACUUUUCAGAGGCCUCACAUUCUGAUAUUGGAUGGCCACCACUUGCAUAAGACCCCUGAGGCUGUGUUGCUUGCGAGAGAGCGUGGGGUGAUAAUGAUUACCAUCCCACCCCACUGCAGCCACAAGAUGCAGCCAUUAGAUCGCACCUUUUUCAAGUCUUUUAAGGCAAAAUACAACACUGCAGACAACAAAUAGAUAUUUAUGCUGUGUGUGGGCUUUUCGAUAAAGCCCACUCAGCUUCAGCGUGUGUGGGGAAGGUCCAAAAGGGUUUCAAGACCUGUGGGAUCUGGCCUCUUGACAAGACCAUCUACAAAGAUGAAGACUUUGAAGGAGCUGAAGUAACUGAGGAGCCAGAUCCAACCCUCGAGGACAGCAGGGAGAUUGAGAAGGAGAUAAGUGCUGGCCCCAGUGGAUCAUCCGUGGUCCCAAGCACUAGCGCCCACUCCCAACCACAGCCUGGGACUGUCUCCAGAUGUCAGCUGAACAUGACAGUAAAUAAAUGGACACAGCAACUCCAUUGGAUUCAAUGGAGACAAAUGAAGUCAAUUAGAAGCACGCACCUGGGGGUCGGACGUAAUGCGCAGACUCGAACUGAACUUGAUGACGUAGAUGUCACCUGAGCAACCUGUAAGUCUUCUAACCGCUGUGCCAAGAGAAAUCUGAAUCGCCCACCGAAUCUUGCAGACGUUGUUGAAUAAUUUUGUCCCAUUGCUUUUAUGGACUCUCUAUGGGCUUCUCCCUUGACCUCAUGCCUCCAUGUCCCCGUGAUAGCCUCAUAGACAGUGAAAGAUUGCCUG